AGGGUGUAAACGCUGCAGACUUGGUGUUGGAGGCCCUUUGGGGGCAUUCAGUGCCGGAGGGAAGUUGUUAAGUCUGCUACUUGGGAGUACGUCCGCAAGGAUGAAACUUAAAGGAAUUGGCGGGGAGCACCGCAACGGGAGGAGCGUGCGGUUUAAUUGGACUCAACGCCGGGAAGCUCACCGGAUAAGACAGCGGAAUGAUUGCCGGGCUGAAGACUCUGCAUGACUAGCUGAGAGGUGGUGCAUGGCGUAGACGUCU
rnacentral:rRNA from 1 species